rnacentral:lncRNA from 1 species
GGAUCCUCUAAUUUGGAGACAUACAAAGAUCUGUGAUGGCUUUUGUAAAGGUCAAAAGGAUCAGCUUUCCUUCUUGCAAGCAUGGCCAUGAUUGAUGGACACAGCAAGUAGGAGGUCAGCUGUCUCGGUAGACACAGCAGGUAGCAGGUCUGUUGUCUCUGUGCUGGGUGGUCACAGAAGCUUUGAGGAACACUGCUCUUUUUUCUCUUCAGGACUUUUCCUUGUCCUCGUUCCAAAAGAGGUUCUCAUCACAUAAGCAAAGGACCAGUAUUUGUCCCUGUGGAUGCACCAAGACUUGAAGUGGCACGGCACACUCUUAGAAAGCUGUAACACCUUCUGCUGGUGGGUCAGGUAGACCAGAAUGCCAUGAUGGCCUACUCACCUUCAACAGCCAGAGGGGCUGCCCAAAAUGGUAAAUCUUAUGCUGCCGACUGGACACACCACAGCUGGAAGUCAUCACUGGCCCCCCUUUCAGAGCCCAGGUCUGGAUCACAAGCUCACCCCUCCUGGAAAGCAGAGUCUCCAGCUGUCCUGUAGUUUGCAAUAUGAAGAUAUCAGCAAUCUGAUGAUUUAUUGAUGCUGUCAUUUUAAUUGUCAAAGUACAUUUUUAUUGCCAAAACAACAUCUGUUCAAUGGUUUUUUG